rnacentral:rRNA from 1 species
UACGGGGGGAGCAAGCGUUGUUCGGAUUUACUGGGCGUAAAGGGCGCGUAGGCGGCCACCGCAAGUCGACUGUGAAAUCUCCGGGCUUAACCCGGAACGGUCAGCCGAUACUGCGGGGCUAGAGUGCAGAAGGGGCAACUGGAAUUCUCGGUGUAGCGGUGAAAUGCGUAGAUAUCGAGAGGAACACCUGCGGCGAAGGCGGGUUGCUGGGCUGACACUGACGCUGAGGCGCGAAAGCCAGGGGAGCGAACGGG